AAAGGCCCAACCUUAUAUCCAGUGUCUCGUGUGUUUCCUCUGUCGUGCUUAUGGGAAGGGAGACAGGUCAUCUACAGCUUCUUGCGUCUCUACUGCUGACGGGAGGGAAGGGAGUGGAUCUGGUGAUCCGUGGUAACGUAGUUCUCAAAACGUUAUCAGCACGCUCUACCUCGACGUUGCUGCGAGAUCAGAUAUGCAUCAACUCUUCGUCACGCCGGCAGGUCCGCGGCCUUGCCGAACUGUCCUACGCGACAGGCUUCGUUCCCGUUUGUCGAACCAGAAAUCACGAUAUGAAAUUUUGAGUGGAUCUGUAAUUUACUGUUCAUCGCGUAUAUUGUCUGCGAGCCCGUAUGCAUGCUGCCCGUCAGAUCCCGCGGCGGCUCGGCCGCCCUCAAGCCCUAGCAUGCAGAUCCUCCAUGCGGCGGCUAGGACACUCCCUGGUGAGUAGAAGGGGCUCUGGUGGCUGGGCGGUUAGAGUCGUGAGAAAAAAAAUAGGCGUUCCUCUACGGCACUGCACACAUGGCAUGUGGACCCCGCGUGGGCACUGGACCCGGCACUCUGUGCGACUGGGUCACGCGCAUGCCGUGCGGUUUCGUGAUUUCGUCUCUCUAGUUGUGUACGACCCAGCAGCCAACAUUCGUUAUUUCAUCAAGCGCAUGUGUGAGUCUCCACGUGGGCUCCACUUCCUAGUCGUGAGGACAGAGGGCACGUGACGUUAGUGGCUGCUGAUCCAUUGUGUGCCCAAUUGAAUUGACAUGCCCCCACGCAUGUGCAUGAUGCCAUGCCAAGUCUUCUAUUAUUUAUUUAUCUAUUCAUUUAUUUAAAAAAAAGUAAAAAGGAAAAGCUUCUCUUUAUGCAGUUUUUCUUAUAUUUUAUAUGAAUACAUUUCUUCUAAUUUAUACAAGUUGUAUACAUGCUUUACAUUAUAAUUUCUACCAUAAUAAAUAAUUAGUAGAAAAUGCAUGCUUCAGUAUGAGAAAUUGACUUUUACACCUGAUGUGUUAUGUUUAUGUAUUAAUUCUAGUGUUUAUUUUUCUACUGUUAUUUUCUGUAGUAAAUACUUAGCAGAAAAUUAUUAAAAUGUAUAUGAAGGCUAUAAUAUGCAUACUUAAAUCGCUCUAAAUAUUUAUUUUGUAUUGAGAUUUUGGACUCACACUGGGCGAUUAAAUUAUAUAUUGGGUACUCGUACGCCAAUCCGACUACAUAAUUAAUCGGCUGAGCUAUGGUAUUGGCUGAGCCCUGGCAACACGAUACAGUAUUUGUGUCAUUGAAUUUGGCUGCGUCAUGUGAUUGUUAAUCGCACUCUCGCUUAAUCGGACCACUUCUGUAGAGUUGGAUUGCCAUCGCCGAGUCACAUAUUUUUUGCAUGCCCUGUAGACACUGUCUGUCUGUCGUGAGCCACAAUUGCGCACGUUGCGUGGAUUUAUCGUGUACCCCAAUUACCGAGCCAUAAUUGUGCCUAUCGCGCUUAUUACGAAGGCUUGCUAUACUGUCGUAGCCCUGAUGGCCACACACGCGUUAACGCCAGAUACGCUAGAGCUUGUACUCGCGUGGAUUGUGGUGGGUUGUUUAAGGUCCUGAAGUCACAUUAUGUGCAACCUUCGUAAACAAUUUUGUUUUCACUUUAUAUUUUGUUUGAUUGUGUUGUGUGGCAUCGUAUAUUUAUAUAUAUCGCCAAGUGGCCAUAACAACUAUAUUAAAUCUGGGAAAUUAAAUCGAAAUACAAUGAAACACAGAUAAGUUAAAUCUCUGCUCUCUCCUCGUGCAUAAAGUUUUACCCGAAGUAACCUGAAGAAAUUCAAUAUUAAUGCAUGAAAGCCUUUUUAGCAUAGAAAACAUCACAAAUUGGGAUUUUAUUAGUAAGCAAUAAGACCUUGUCAGAUGAAUAAAUGCUAGAAUCUCAGUCAUACAUUGCUCAACCAGAUGUUGCCACAUUGCUAUUUGUCGCUGAACGGCAUGAAGCGAACUUUGAGAUAAAUGGCUAGUACCUUAGCAACACGAAAUUGCGAGUACAUCGAAAGGUAAUUCUGAGAAUUUUUUCACAAAGUUGGUGUGAAAAAACAUUGUGUGUUCUCGUUGAACCACUUUACUCGGCCUAUCUAGGACCUCUAUGCUUGUAUUGCAUACAUCUCUCACAAUUUAAAUACUUAUAGCCGCUGAAUUGACUUGGGAUAGUCCUUUGACUGGUAUGGUAUAUACUAUAAACCAAAUGGUAAAGGUCGAUUCUGAAUAGACAUAUAUCUGGGGUUUAUGUAGCAGAACUACAUUGUAUUCCACCCCUUGGCAUGCUUACCAUAAUCUAUAUCUGAUCUACCAGAAGUAAGAAGAGUACAA
rnacentral:lncRNA from 1 species